rnacentral:rRNA from 1 species
GACGAACGCUGGCGGCGUGCUUAACACAUGCAAGUCGAACGGAAAGGCCCUGCUCUUGUGGGGUGCUCGAGUGGCGAACGGGUGAGUAACACGUGAGUAACCUGCCCUUGACUUUGGGAUAACUUCAGGAAACUGGGGCUAAUACCGCAUAGGAGCUCCUGCUGCAUGGUGGGGGUUGGAGAGUUUCGGCGGUUGGGGAUGGACUCGCGGCUUAUCAGCUUGUUGGUGGGGUAGUGGCUUACCAAGGCUUUGACGGGUAGCCGGCCUGAGAGGGUGACCGGCGACAUUGGGCCUGAGAUACGGCCCAGACUCCUACGGGAGGCAGCAGUGGGGAAUAUUGCGCAGUGGGCGGAAGCCUGAUGCAGAAACGCCGCGUGCGGGAUGCCGGCCUUCGGGUUGUAAACCGCUUUCGCCUGUGACGAAGCGUGAGUGACGGUAAUGGGUAAAGAAGCACCGGCUAACUACGUG